GUGCCAGCAGCCGCGGUAAAACGUAGGAGGCGAGCGUUAUCCGGAGUUACUGGGCGUAAAGCGCGCGCAGGCGGUCCGUUAAGUCGGGCGUGAAAGCCCCAUGCUAAACGUGGGGAGGACGAACGAUACUGACGGACUGGAGUAGAGCAGAGGGACAUGGAAUUCCGGGUGUAGCGGUGAAAUGUGCAGAUAUCCGGAGGAACACCAGAGGUGAAAACGGUGUCCUGGGCUCAUACUGACGCUGAGGCGCGAAAGCGUGGGGAGCGAACGGGAUUAGAUACCCCGGUAGUCC
rnacentral:rRNA from 1 species